rnacentral:snoRNA from 1 species
GCUGAUGAUGUGAACAAUCCCUAAGAAGAGCUUUGAACCUCUCCCAUGCAUGAUAUAAGUUCUCAUCUGGCUUUUGUUUGAAGCUCACAAUCUCAUUGCACAUU